AUGGAUUCGUCUGGGGAUGGGGUGAGGAAUGUAUGGUGUUAUUUAGAAAAGGUUCCGGCGACGGCAACGCCAUGGACGGCGGAGGUGGCGCCCAAAGGUUCUAAUAUUCGAGACGAUUGGCUUGUAUUCGAGACUUGAUUUAUAGGGCAUCAGAAAGAGGAGGGUACGGGGAGUGAGGUGUGUAUUUUUGGGAGGAAUCUGAGC
rnacentral:lncRNA from 1 species